CCGAGAUUCCCCCAGUAGCGGCGAGCGAACGGGGAGCAGCCCAGAGCCUGAAUCAGUGUGUGUGUUAGUGGAAGCGUCUGGAAAGGCGUGCGAUACAGGGUGACAGCCCCGUACACAAAAAUGCACAUGCUGUGAGCUCGAUGAGUAGGGCGGGACACGUGGUAUCCUGUCUGAAUAUGGGGGGACCAUCCUCCAAGGCUAAAUACUCCUGACUGACCGAUAGUGAACCAGUACCGUGAGGGAAAGGCGAAAAGAA
rnacentral:rRNA from 1 species